GUAUAUUAUUAUUCACCUUUAUUGAUUUUGUGAGGUAUGUAUAGUUUUUAUAUAUAUAUGCACAGUUGAUUUUUAUCCACGGUAUUACACAGGGCCAGAACAAGCUGGGCCAGGCCCAGCACAAGUGCAUCAUAGGCGACGGCCCACCUCCCCACGCGACAGUACACCUCCCCCGCGCGACGGCCCACCUCCCCAGCGCGACGGCACACCUCUCCCACCUCCCGCAUAACUCGUGGCCACCUACCCCGCCCCAUUCACCUUAUCCUUUCACUGCUCACUCCACUCACUUCAUCUGCCCCUUUCCCCUCCGCCGCCGCAUCGCCGCGCGCGUCGACGAACUGUCGGCCGCGCUCCUCCGCGCGCGUCGACGAGCUGCCGGCCGCGCUCCUCCGCCCCUUCAUCGUCUACCACUCCGCCGUCUUCGGCAACUUCAAGGGCCGCACCGUCCUGUUCGACUGCGACAUCCACCCGGCCUACUCCGGCAUGGCGGCGCUGCCCUACUCUGACGAGAUCGACCCCUCCACCAUCGACGUCCUCCUCGUCACCCACUUCCACUUGGAUCUUGUUGGGGGAACCCAAC